rnacentral:rRNA from 1 species
CUACGGAGGGGACUAGCGUUGUUCGGAAUUACUGGGCGUAAAGAGUUCGUAGGCGGACUGAUAAGUAAGAGGUGAAAUCCCAGGGCUCAACCCUGGAACUGCCUUUUAAACUGUCAGUCUAGAGACCGGAAGAGGUUAGGGGAAUACCUAGUGUAGAGGUGAAAUUCGUAGAUAUUAGGUGGAACACCAGUGGCGAAGGCGCCUGACUGGUCCGGUACUGACGCUGAGGAACGAAAGCGUGGGGAGCAAACAGGAUUAGAAACCCCAGUAGUCC